GGUUAAGUGAAUAAGGGCGCACGGUGGAUGCCUUGGCACUAGGAGCCGAUGAAGGACGGGACUAACACCGAUAUGCUUUGGGGAGCUGUAAGUAAGCUAUGAUCCAGAGAUUUCCGAAUGGGGGAACCCAAUAUCUUUUAUAGGAUAUUACUUUUCAGUGAAUACAUAGCUGAUUAGAGGUAGACGCAGAGAACUGAAACAUCUUAGUACCUGCAGGAAGAGAAAGAAAAUUCGAUUCCCUGAGUAGCGGCGAGCGAAACGGGAAGAGCCCAAACCAACAAGCUUGCUUGUUGGGGUUGUAGGACUCCGAUAUGGUAGUCUGUUAGUAUAGUUGAAGGAUUUGGAAAAUUCCGCUAAAGAGGGUGAAAGCCCCGUAGACGAAAUGCUGACAACACCUAGGAGGAUCCUGAGUACGGCGGAACACGAGAAAUUCCGUCGGAAUCCGCGGGGACCAUCCCGCAAGGCUAAAUACUCCCUAGUGACCGAUAGUGAACCAGUACCGUGAGGGAAAGGUGAAAAGCACCCCGGAAGGGGAGUGAAAUAGAUCCUGAAACCGUGUGCCUACAACAAGUCAAAGCUCGUUAAUGAGUGAUGGCGUGCCUUUUGUAGAAUGAACCGGCGAGUUACGAUUGCAUGCGAGGUUAAGUCGAAGAGACGGAGCCGUAGCGAAAGCGAGUCUGAAUAGGGCGAAUGAGUAUGUAGUCGUAGACCCGAAACCAUGUGAUCUACCCAUGUCCAGGUUGAAGGUGCGGUAAAACGCACUGGAGGACCGAACCCACGUACGUUGAAAAGUGCGGGGAUGAGGUGUGGGUAGCGGAGAAAUUCCAAACGAACUUGGAGAUAGCUGGUUCUCUCCGAAAUAGCUUUAGGGCUAGCCUCGGAAUUGAGAAUGAUGGAGGUAGAGCACUGUUUGGACUAGGGGCCCAUCUCGGGUUACCGAAUUCAGAUAAACUCCGAAUGCCAUUCAUUUAUAUCCGGGAGUCAGACUGCGAGUGAUAAGAUCCGUAGUCGAAAGGGAAACAGCCCAGACCACCAGCUAAGGUCCCAAAAUAUAUGUUAAGUGGAAAAGGAUGUGGGGUUGCACAGACAACUAGG
rnacentral:rRNA from 1 species